UGAAAGCAGAUCACGCACAGCUUGGGGCAGAAAUUCGUUUCAGAGAAAUAAGGGCGGCAAAAGGAAUGGUGUUUGAGAGAACAGACUGAAGAAACUCAAGGCAGGGAAAUCAAGACAUAGAGCACAGAACUUGUAUGUGAAAACAGAUGUUUCCUCUGAAAUGUGUGAGUUGGACUACAGAUGAACAUGAUUUUUUUAAAUUUUAUAAGAUUCCCAUAAAAGAACUCAAGAAGAUUCUGGAUGUAAAUAUUUUGAGUUGCUUCAUACUCAGUCAGGUAGACACAGUCAACAGCCCACAAUCUUCAGCAUUUCACUGUAUUUCAAGGUGUUGAUUCUGGAACCUUUUUCAUGCAAUCAGUGAAUUCUGAUGUUGUGUUAUGAUCCCUUCCAUAUGUUUUGAUUCACACUUCAUAUUAAGUCAUUCUUUUCUAAACAAGUGUGCGAUUUUAAAAAGAAUGACUUAACAUUCUUAUAAUGCUUACAACACCAAGCUACAAUAUCUGGGUUCACAUUUUACAUUAAUCCAUAAAUAAAUCAUAUUGUAGCUUAGAUCAGAGUGUGAAUCCAGACUUUAAUUUAUCUAGGUCAUUAAGUUUCCAACCUAUGGUUCAUAAUAUAUACACAUAAUAUGGUUCAUAAGCUUCCUAACAGACAGGAAGCAGCAGGUGAAGCUAGGCAAAAUCACAUCAGAUAUCUGUACAAUUAGCACAAGAUCCUCCCCCCCUCCCCAAGGCUGUGUGCACUCUCCAAUUCUCUUCUCUCUAUACACCAAUGACUGCAUCUCAAAAGAUCCCUUUGUUAAAAUACUGAAGUUUCCAGAUGAUACAACAAUGAUUGGUCUCUUUCGAGACAACGACGAAUCUGCAUACAGACAGGAGGUUGAACAACUAGCCUUGUAGUACAACCAGAACAAUUUUGAACUCAAAACCAUAGAAAUGGUGGUAGAUUUUAGGAGAAACCCUCCUACAUUACCACCACUUACAAUACUAGAAAAUAAAAUAUCAACAGUAGAGACCUACAAGUUUCUAGGUUCUAUCAUAUCUCAAGACUUAAAAUGA